rnacentral:lncRNA from 10 species
CGGGCCGCGCAGGAGCGUCUGUCCGAGGGUCCCCUGCGAGGGACUCCUCUGCUCGGCUGCGCGGGCUUCUGCGUUGAUGAAGUCACCGCGUUCCGGGUCGGAGCUUCAGCGCUUCUGCCCGGAACCCAGCGAAGCCCAGUCCUAUGCCCCUGAUUACCCAACGGUCUCUCAUCGCCCAGCGCAGCUGCUGCCUGGUCAGGCCCUUGCUCCGGAGGAGUCACUGGAAAGUUCCAGGGAAUCUGGGCCUCCCAGACUCUCCACCGGCGUUUCACUGCUCAUUCCCCAUGCCAGGACUCCUCUGUGCCUACCUGGCUGAGGGCAGUGCUGAAUCCGGACCUUGGAAAGGACGCUGGUGCCACCCUUCAUCUGGGAAAGGUGCAAGGGGCAGGGGAUACCAAACCGAGUCUUCGCUCUGCGCUCUGUGCAGGCCUCCAGGAUCUUUGCCAAGGGUCUUGAGGAGCCAGGCACAGGAUUGGACUCUGCCCAGGCAGGAGGACGAAGACAGUGACUUCCCCACAAAGACUCCCAGGAGAGGGCCAGAGGCAGGGAGGUGUGGUGGCAGGAGUGCCAGCCUUGCCAUGGGUAGACCAGGGGCCAGCGCUUGCUGAGUCGGGGUCCUGGCCGAGUUGUCUGGCCUCUCGGACCCUCGGUCUCCUCUUCUGUAAGAUGUGGGGCCCACAGCCCCUGCCCGGGGAGGUGUUGGCAGGGCCCUAUGAGGCCUCACGCACGGUGUGGCUACGGUCAUCUGUGAGCCGGCCAGAGGAUCAGAGAGGCAGCAGGGUGACUCAGCAGUUUCCCUGCCGGGCCGCCCCUGGGUCAUCGUCCCCUAGAACCUCUCCCUGAGGGGUGUGAGGGAGCGGAUCCCAUUAACAGUCGGAGGAGACAGGGAGGUCCUGGAACCAGCGGGGCCCAUGGCGGCGGGCGGGGAAGGAGGCGCCCGCAGUGCUGCCACCUAGCGGGAUGAGGUGGCGGUGCUGCACCAGGGAGGCCCUUCCUGCAACCCGACUGGACCUGGAGGAGGCCGGCUUCGCAGAGGAGGGGCCAGGAGGGCAGGGAGGGACUCCGGACCGGACCGUGUCGGCUCCAGGAACCCCUUGGGCAGCCUUGUGGACACCUGCUAACCUCUCUCAGAAUGCCUUCUAAAUGCAGAGUUGAAAAAGCCCAGGAUUAUUAGGAAACCAAUUAUAUGCAAAUACAUUAUCAAAAGACUAAUAAAAACAAAUUUCUGACAUAGCCGUACAUAUUUUUU